UACGGAGGAUCCAAGCGUUAUCCGGAAUCAUUGGGUUUAAAGGGUCCGUAGGCGGUUUGGUAAGUCAGUGGUGAAAGCCCAUCGCUCAACGGUGGAACGGCCAUUGAUACUGCUAGACUUGAAUUAUUAGGAAGUAACUAGAAUAUGUAGUGUAGCGGUGAAAUGCUUAGAGAUUACAUGGAAUACCAAUUGCGAAGGCAGGUUACUACUAAUGAUUGACGCUGAUGGACGAAAGCGUGGGUAGCGAACAGG
rnacentral:rRNA from 1 species